GUGGUUGGAAUUUUGGUCAACAUCCGGGAAUGUAUGGAUGAGAGGAUUGUGAUUCCUGUCGUCGUGGGUUCGAGUCCCAUCAGCCACCCCA
rnacentral:tRNA from 1 species